AUAACCUUUUAAACUUAGUCCCGUGAGGCUAAUAAAGGGUCGGCGCUGGUAACAGCAUUAACAAACGACACCUCUAUACCUGCGGGCAUAGAGGUGUUUUUCGGU
rfam:Lactobacillus mixtipabuli DNA, scaffold: sequence05, strain: IWT30.